UACGGAGGGGGCUAGCGUUGUUCGGAAUUACUGGGCGUAAAGGGCGCGUAGGCGGUCUGCUAAGUUGGAUGUGAAAACUCUGGGCUUAACCCAGAGCCUGCAUUCAAUACUGACAGGCUAGAGUUCUGGAGGGGAUAGCGGAAUUCCUGGUGUAGCGGUGAAAUGCGUAGAUAUCAGGAGGAACACCGGUGGCGAAGGCGGCUAUCUGGACAGAGUCUGACGCUGAGGCGCGAAAGCUAGGGGAGCAAACAGG
rnacentral:rRNA from 1 species